rnacentral:rRNA from 1 species
UACAGAGGGUGCGAGCGUUAAUCGGAAUUACUGGGCGUAAAGCGUGCGCAGACGGUCAUGUAAGUCGGGUGUGAAAGCCCCGGGCUCAACCUGGGAAUUGCAUUCGAGACUGUGUGGCUAGGGUGCGGAAGAGGGAAGCGGAAUUUCCGGUGUAGCGGUGAAAUGCGUAGAUAUCGGGAGGAACAUCUGUGGCGAAAGCGGCUCACUGGACCACAACUGACGCUGAGACACGAAAGCGUGGGGAGCAAACAGG